GACGAACGCUGGCGGCGUGCUUAACACAUGCAAGUCGAACGGUAAGGCCCUUCGGGGUACACGAGUGGCGAACGGGUGAGUAACACGUGGGUGAUCUGCCCUGCACUUCGGGAUAAGCCUGGGAAACUGGGUCUAAUACCGGAUAGGACCCUGGGAUGCAUGUCAUGGGGUGGAAAGCUUUUGCGGUGUGGGGUGGGCCCGCGGCCUAUCAGCUUGUUGGUGGGGUGAUGGCCUACCAAGGGGACGACGGGUAGCCGGCCUGAGAGGGUGACCGGCCACACUGGGACUGAGAUACGGCCCAGACUCCUACGGGAGGCAGCAGUGGGGAAUAUUGCACAAUGGGCGCAAGCCUGAUGCAGCGACGCCGCGUGAGGGAUGACGGCCUUCGGGUUGUAAACCUCUUUCAGCACCGACGAAGCGCAAGUGACGGUAGGUGCAGAAGAAGGACCGGCCAACUACGUGCCAGCCGCCGCGGUAA
rnacentral:rRNA from 1 species